rnacentral:rRNA from 1 species
ACGCUCGACACCUACUGGAGGCAGCAGUCGGGAAUAUUGCGCAAUGGAGGGAACUCUGACGCAGUGACGCCGCGUAUAGGAAGAAGGUUUUCGGAUUGUAAACUAUUGUCGUUAGGGAAGAGAAAGGACAGUACCUAAGGAGGAAGCUCCGGCUAACUACGUGCCAGCAGCCGACGGUAAUCUGAGCGGGCUGGCAAGGC